UCCUCACCUGUUUCCUGUGUGAUUGUGGCUUGCUGUUGGCGUCUUUCUCAAGAAUUCCUCCAAAAAUCUUUAAACCUAUUGAUUUGAUUGCUGGAAUCAUUGGCGUUUCUUACCUGGACCGUCACCGGGAUUCUGUCACGGCUGAUUGUGGCUAAUUACGCCCCGCUCUCUUCAAAAAGGUAGGGUUUCUUUCCCCCCUGUCGGAUCAGAUCUUCAUCUGGAUUGGAAGAUGGCGAGCUAGGAAUGGACCAUGGACUUUAUGAUUUUGAAAUUAAUUUAUUCUGAGUCAAUUCUCAUGUCUCAUCGUGCUGCUGUAAUUGUAUGUUUUAUUCAAAUCACUUAAUAUAUAUUCACCAAAACUAAAAGCACUGCCUCCUGUUUUUUCACACCACAGGCUCCUUAAAGGACACUCUUCUGAUACUGCUUUUGUAGCUGCAGUUAGCUGCCUAGCCCAUAAGUGUUACAAACACAUUAAUAGGUAGGUGAUCUUGAUGUUA